CGAACUAAACAUGUAUAUAUUGCGACACUUUACGUACUUUAGGAAGCCCGGUGUAAUUUUUCGAAAUCGGGCCAGAUGGCUAUAGUAGCGUGUGAUUAGGCUAUAUACACAACAAUUUACCAUGUGUACAUAUUUUUAUGGUUACCGAAUUUUUAAGAAACGACGAACUCUUUAAUUCACCCGAAUUUAAGGGUGUCAAAGCAGCAGCUUUCAGUGCUUACUGCUACCAUUUUCUAUGUACUUGGACCUGAAACUGAAAAUGCCCAAUUUCCUCCUUUGUGAUUUGAUUUGUGAAAAAAAGACCCAAUUUCCAGCAUUUCAGCAACCCCUCUGUCCAUUGAAGCCAGAAGCCGCCUAAGGGUGUUUAAACGUUCUCCGUCGAGUCGGAUGAUUUCUUUCCCUUUUUCGUUUUAGGACUCCGGGGAAAUGUAUUCACAUCUUCCUAAAUUUUCCUUAAUAACUCUUCUUCUCGAUUGGCUUGAGUGUCAACUGAAUUUUCUUUAUAUGCAUAAAAGGCAGGCCGGGUUUGAAACUUGGAAAAUGUAUUUGUUUGCUGGCCUAAAGCCGGAUUGGAAAUAAAAUAAGUUUGGAAAAUUGA